GCACAAGCGGUGGAGCAUGUGGUUUAAUUCGACGCAACGCGAAGAACCUUACCUGGGCUCGAAAUGUUAUGGACCGGAGUGGAAACAUUCCUUCCCCGCAAGGGGCCGUAAUAUAGGUGCUGCAUGGCUGUCGUCAGCUCGUGUCGUGAGAUGUUGGGUUAAGUCCCGCAACGAGCGCAACCCUUAUCUUCAGUUGCUACCAUUUAGUUGAGCACUCUGACGAAACCGCCUCGGAUAACGGGGAGGAAGGUGGGGAUGACGUCAAGUCCUCAUGGCCUUUAUGUCCAGGGCUACACACGUGCUACAAUGGCCGGUACAAACCGCUGCAAACCCGCGAGGGGGAGCUAAUCGGAAAAAGCCGGCCUCAGUUCGGAUUGGAGUCUGCAACUCGACUCCAUGAAGCUGGAAUCGCUAGUAAUCGUGGAUCAGCAUGCCACGGUGAAUACGUUCCCGGGC
rnacentral:rRNA from 1 species